CCCUUAGAUGUUCUGGGCCGCACGCGCGCUACACUGAUGCAUUCAACGAGCCUAUCCUUGACCGACAGGUCCGGGUAAUCUUUGAAUCUGCAUCGUGACGGGGAUAGAUUAUUGCAAUUAUUAAUCUUCAACGAGGAAUGCCUAGUAGGCGCAAGUCAUCAGCUUGCGUCGAUUACGUCCCUGCCCUUUGUACACACCGCCCGUCGCUACUACUGAUUGGACGUUUAAGCAAGAUUUUUAAACACUGACAGUGUGUAGUUCACGCUAUACUACAGUGAGAAGAAGAAGAUCGAGCUUACUUGUCUAGAGGAAGUAAAAGUCGUAACA
rnacentral:rRNA from 1 species